GUCUCCGUGGCGCAAUCGGUUAGUGCGCUCGGCCGUUAACCGAAAGGUUGGUGGUUCGAUCUCAUUCGGGGACG